UACGAAGGGGGCUAGCGUUGCUCGGAAUCACUGGGCGUAAAGCGCACGUAGGCGGAUUGCUAAGUCAGGGGUGAAAUCCUGGAGCUCAACUCCAGAACUGCCCUUGAUACUGGCGGUCUCGAGUCCGGGAGAGGUGAGUGGAAUUCCGAGUGUAGAGGUGAAAUUCGUAGAUAUUCGGAGGAACACCAGUGGCGAAGGCGGCUCACUGGCUCGGUACUGACGCUGAGGUGCGAAAGCGUGGGGAGCAAACAGG
rnacentral:rRNA from 1 species